UGAGGAAUAUUGCGCAAUGGGGGCAACCCUGACGCAGCAACGCCGCGUGAGUGAGGAAGGUUUUCGGACCGUAAAGCUCUGUCGAGCGGGAAGAAAUGCAUAGUGGCUAAUAUCCAUCAUGCUUGACGGUACCGCUAAAGGAAGCACCGGCUAACUCCGUGCCAGCAGCCGCGGUAAUACGGGGGGUGCGAGCGUUGUUCGGAAUUAUUGGGCGUAAAGAGCGUGUAGGCGGCCGAAUAAGUCAGAUGUGAAAUCCCUGGGCUUAACCCAGGACGUGCAUUUGAAACUAUUCGGCUGGAGUAGGGGAGAGGAAAGUGGAAUUCCUGGUGUAGAGGUGAAAUUCGUAGAUAUCAGGAGGAACACCGGUGGCGAAGGCGACUUUCUGGCCCUAUACUGACGCUGAGACGCGAGAGCGUGGAUAGCAAACAG
rnacentral:rRNA from 1 species